CUCUUGAAUAAACCUUUUUAGUCUAGGGACUGUUUGGUGACACCCUUUCGACUGCACUUUUUGUUAUGUUGUAGUUUGAAAGUGAUUCCUACUCGCGUUUGGUGACAAGAAGUACCCAGCGAUCGCCCAAGAGAUUAAUUAAUUUAUUAACAAUGAUGGGUUUGUGAGCCAGAAGUGUGCAGCAGUGCGCUGAAAAUGAAAAUGGCUUCUGAUUGCGGUGAAGCAGUGAUGGAUUCUGUUGGAACAACAUCAUCAUCAUUGUCAGCAUCAAUUAUCAAGAUCACCAAAUUCGUUGAGUAGAACCAAAUGGGAGGGAGUCAUGACCAGAGCCAAAACUUCUCCACCAACCCUUCCGACUACAAGCUUCUAGAAGAAGUUGGUUAUGGCGCCACCGCCACCGUCUACCGAGCCAUCUAUCUUCCCUUCAACCAGGUGGUUGCCGUCAAAUGCAUGGAUCUCGAUCGCUGUGACAUCAAUCUGGAUGAUUUGCGAAGGGAAGCGCAGAUGAUGAGCCUGGUCGAUCAUCCGAACGUACUGAAGGCAUACUGCUCCUUCGCUGUGGAGCGGAGUUUGUGGGUUGUGAUGCAGUUCAUGGACGAGGGCUCCUGUUUGCAUCUCAUGAAGAUUGCGUACACGGAGGGGUUCGAGGAGGAGGCAAUCGGAUCCAUCCUCAAAGAAACUCUGAAGGCCCUGCAGUACCUCCACCACCACGGCCACAUUCAUCGGGACGUCAAAGCCGGCAACAUUUUACUUGGCAGCAGCGGCGCCGUCAAGCUCGCCGACUUCGGUGUUGCCGCUUGUUUGUUCGACGCCGGCGACAGGCAGCGCUACAGAAACACUUUUGUGGGGACCCCUUGCUGGAUGGCUCCUGAGGUUCUGCAACCUUCAAGUGGCUAUAAUUCUAAGGCUGAUAUUUGGUCUUUUGGGAUUACGGCACUUGAGUUGGCUCAUGGUCAUGCCCCAUUUUCAAAAUACCCUCCAAUGAAGGUUCUUCUAAUGACCAUACAGAAUGCCCCUCCCGGACUUGAUUAUGACCGUGAUAAGAAGUUCUCUAAGUCUUUUAAGGAAAUGGUUGCUAUGUGCCUAGUGAAAGACCAAACAAAAAGGCCAUCAGCAGAGAAGUUACUGAAACAUUCCUUCUUCAAACAUGUUAAGCCUCCCGAGCUCUCUGUAAAAAAACUGUUUGCUGACUUACCCCCUCUUUGGAAUCGUGUAAAAGCACUCCAGCUCAAAGAUGCAGCUCAACUUGCAAUGAAGAAAAUGCCUUCUGCAGAAGAAGAGGCAAUAUCUCAGAGUCAAUACCAACGAGGAGUUAGCACGUGGAACUUUCAUAUUGAUGAUUUGAAAGCUCAAGCUUCAUUGGUGAGGGAUGAUGAUGAUAUUGUUGAGAUGAGGGAAGAAGAUCAAAACAAAAACAAUUUUUUCACUAAUUACAAGGCUGGUGCAAUUGAUUCAGAGAAAUCACCACUGAAUAAAAUCACAUCACAGGUAGGGGCUAUAGACAUAAAACAGACACAGCAAAAUGAAUGCUUCUACAAAAACAAGAAGAUUCCAGAAAGCAAAAUCCAGGAACCUGCACUGCCCAAAAAUAUUAUUUGUAAGAGAAAUGGGUCAACAUCAGAGGCAAUGACAUCUAAUAUACAGAAAGAUAUAAUUAUGAGCAAAAUUAGAGGCCAAACAGUAAAAACCCGUCAAACUCAAAGUGGACCACUGUUGCCAGUCACAGUUCUCAAUCAUUUCAAAUCAGAAAGGGAACAAACAUCAGAAAGGCUUGAGAAUGGAAAUCAGUUACCGGGUGAGAAAAAUAAUCGUGAAGUGCGACGACCUCCAAAUUUUAGUGGACCGUUGAUGCUUUCUGCACGAGCCUCAGCAAAUAGUUUAUCAGCUCCAAUAAAGUCUUCGGGAGGGUUCAGGGAUUCCUUGGAUGACAAGUCUAGGGCUAAUCUAGUACAAAUUAAAGGGAGGUUUUCUGUGACAUCAGAAAAUUUAGAUCUUGUAAAGGAUAUUCCUGGAAGUUCAGUUUCACUUAGAUCUUCACAGGGCUCAUCACUGCGGAAAUCUGCCAGUGUUAGUGAUGGGAUGUUGGAUUCCGAACAAAUGCCAAUUAGUCAGGCCUCCCAAGAUUCUGCCACCAAUAACAUCUCUGCAUCACUUCUUAUGACUCACCUUCAAAAUCUUCUCCAGCAAACAUUAAUGCAACAGGAUCUUAUAGUGAAUCUGUUGAGUAGCUUGCAAUCUGCUGAAGGUAUUGAAGUUUCACAGAAUGGAAAGUUGCCACUAAUACCUUGCAGUUCACAAAUAAAUAGGGGUACGUUUGUCAUUGACAGGUCGACACAGCAGCUGCAGGGAGGGAACGUUAUCUGCUGCUCAAAAUAAUGGAGCUUCAGACUCGUAUGGUCACUUUGACUGAUGAAUUGACUGCUGAGAAGUUAAAAUACAUGCAGUUGCAACAACAGCUAACGACUCUCCAAACUAAGGAACAAAAUAGGGAGAAGGGAGAGUACGUUGCGUGAAAGCUGAUUAAUUCCACUGCGUUUUGGAUAUUGAAACUAGAGUUGUGUAUCUUCCCGAUCCAAUUUGACUUGCCAAGCAAAAUGUUUGUAUGAAGUUACAGAGUUACAGAUGUAAUACAAGAUUAUUUAUUUCAUUCAAUAUUCCUAUGCAUUCAAGCUUUCUCUGUUGUAUCUUCUGCAACCUUGCUUAGUUUGCCGAUCCAUUACGGAUUUUUGUAAAGAAAUAUAUACGGGAUCUAAUAUAUCUUAUAUUUUAGCUUGUAUAUUA